rnacentral:lncRNA from 1 species
CGCAGUGUUUACUGGCAGAGCCAAGAAGAAAGCUACGAAUAACCUUUAAUUUUCUAAAUGUAUUUUCUCUGGUAAAAAUUAAGACCUAUAAAAGUAUCUAAAAAAAAUGAAAAUAUAUCAUGUGCUGUGGACGGAGGUCGAUACAAAGAUUACGAGUGUUCUGAUCGAUAAACAUGUUAAGAAUACAAAAUCCAAGACGCUAGAAAAAUUGGGAGUUGGAUGGCACGAAGCGAAAGUGAUAAUCAGUAGUGAUGAUACGGAUGAUUUAGAAUCGCUAGACGUCAGCGUUCGCAGUAAGGUCGUGACACCUAAAAGGAGGAAAUCCUUUUUAGAUGCCGUAAUCGCAAAUGAAUACGAAGCUUCAUCAAAGAAGAGAAAAGUAACUGAUACGAUAUCCAGAAUAAACACAGAUUCAGAAUCAAAAGUCUCGGCCCAUUCAAUUUUUAGCGAAGAUUUUAACAUCGAAGAAGAAUUGUACACGUACGUAUACUUUCAUACAAUAACGUGCAAGCAGAAUCCUUCUAGUUAUGUAAUACUCUUUUGUGGUUUACUUAUUUAUUUUACAUACGUUUGUAUACGGAGAGUAUGUUAAGGAGGUUGUUAUGAACGAGAAUAUAAAGUUUAAAACUGAAUCGAACGAGAAUAAAAGAACAAGGAAAAGGAUAGUAGAGAGCAACAACGAUGACAGUAUGAACGAUAAAGAGAAAGAACAUGAUAUCGUCGGUGGUUUGGUAAAGAGUGAAAAGAACCAUGACGAAAGCGAGUAUAAUUACAGCAAAUUCAACUAAGAGGAGGUUAAGAAGGCUAAGAUUCAACUAAGUGUAAAAAAGAGAACAGAAAACAAACCCGUAAAGGUAAACAACGAUAAACCGAAGAUAGAUGAUUUCGAGACAUUGGUGAAUGGCGAGCAGAGCGUUGUAAAAAUAGAGCAUGAUGAGGCCGAAAUCAAGAAUGACAAGCGGGAUGACGUAGCCGAUGACAAGAUAGCUAGUCGAGAUGAAAGCGAGUGGACCCCUGAUAACGAAGACAAGGGAAACUACGAAAACAAAUCUGAUAACGAGGAGCACCAAAGCGCCAUCGCUGAAAGACGCCGCAAACCUAGUAUCAGGGAAUCCCUUAUUUCGGAUCAUCCCGAAGAUGGAAAAUUUAUGUGAAUAAAAAGAUACCGCCGGAUUUUAAUAGAAUGUUGGAAAGCCGUAGCCGCCUGAUCCUCAUUAACAUGUGCUACAGCUUAAGAAAUAAAAAACAAAGAAGACGUGCAUUUGAUUAGAUGUCGCUUGGAAUAUGAGUUUUAUUCGAGUCACGUUAGUUACGUAUGCGCAUAAUUACGACCCUGUUAUUACCUAAGUGUAAAAAGUAAAAAGUCUAGUUUGUGUCAAUCUUGCAAUACAUUCUUGUUUCGCAUGUCUCAAGAAACCUUUUUAACGUUAUGUUAAUUUAAUAAACCAUAUGUUACAAAAUGUA